AUUGAACGCUGGCGGCAGGCUUAACACAUGCAAGUCGAGCGGUAACAGAGAUAGCUUGCUAUCUGCUGACGAGCGGCGGACGGGUGAGUAACGCGUAGGAAACUACCCGGUAGUGGGGGACAACCAUUGGAAACGAUGGCUAAUACCGCAUACGCUCUACGGAGGAAAGGGGGCUUCGGCUCUCGCUAUCGGAUGUGCCUGCGUGAGAUUAGCUAGUUGGUGGGGUAAAGGCCUACCAAGGCGACGAUCUCUAGCUGGUCUGAGAGGAUGAUCAGCCACACUGGGACUGAGACACGGCCCAGACUCCUACGGGAGGCAGCAGUGGGGAAUAUUGGACAAUGGGCGCAAGCCUGAUCCAGCCAUGCCGCGUGUGUGAAGAAGGCUUUCGGGUUGUAAAGCACUUUCAUCAGUGAGGAAAGGGUAGUAGUUAAUACCUGCUAUCUGUGACGUUAACUGAAGAAGAAGCACCGGCUAAC
rnacentral:rRNA from 1 species